rnacentral:rRNA from 1 species
GACGAACGCUGGCGGCGUGCUUAACACAUGCAAGUCGAACGGAAAGGCCCUGCUUUCGUGGGGUGCUCGAGUGGCGAACGGGUGAGUAACAUGUGAAUAACCUGCGCUGUCUUUGGGAACACUUCAGGAAACUGGGGAUAAUCGCGGAUAGGCGCUGCUGCUGCAUGGGGGGGGUUGGAACGUUUCGGCGGGAGGGGAUGGACUGGCGGGUUAUCGGCUUGGUGGUGGAGUAGCGGCUUAACAAGUCUAUGACGGGUAGCCGGCAUGAGAGGGUGAACAGCCACAUUGGUACUAAGGGACGGAGCAGAGGCCUACAGGAGGCAGCAGGGGGGAAUAUGGCACAAUGGUCGGGAGCCUGAUGCAGCAAUGCCGGGUGUGGGAUGACGGCCAUCUGGUGGGAAAGCGCAUUCGCCUGUUACGAUGCGUGAGUGACGGUAAUGGGUAAAGAAGCACCGGCUAACUACGUG